UUAAAGAUGCUGUUCAAGGUCAGCUGCAUCUGGAUUAUCUGUAUGUGAAUCUCCCAGUGCUUUGACCCAAGAUGAUGUCUACACAAGCCUUCAGCAGCCAUUGUGGCAGAUCAAAACUGUGCUGUAUGAAGAUGACACAGUGGUGUCCUCAAGCACGAGGUGAGGUACAUGCAGUAAACUGUAAUGAUCUGCUGAGGCCACGCUGUGCUCUAUUUACAGCACAAGCUCAGGUCACCGUGUGAGGACCAUGCACUUGCACACUGUUUUACCUUUAGCAUGUCUUAAUGUGAAA